ACAGAUAUUCCAAAAAAGGAGAUAUAAACAUGACCAUAAAAGACAUGAAAAGAUGUUUAACCCCAUUAGUCAUCGUGGAAAUGCAAAUGAAAACCACCAUACAGACACUAGAGUGGUUUAAAUUUGAAUGACUUCCAACACCAAAUGCCAGACAGGACAUAGAGCAACUGGAUGUCUCAUGCUCACAGGCAGAAGGGAAAACUACUGUGUGUGACAGGAAGAUGGACUUACCCAACCUUCAGCAUUCUCAAUCUCUUGUCUAUUAACAUGUGUUUGAAACAUUAUGCAUUCAAAGCAAACAUCUGGGAGGAAGAUGGGAGAAGCCUUCUUGCCCCUGUUCUACAGAAGUAAUUGAAGUUCAUGACAUUCAAGCUCAUUCACCAGUAAAUGAAUUUGGGUCAUGCUUU
rnacentral:lncRNA from 10 species